rnacentral:rRNA from 1 species
UACGGAGGGGGCUAGCGUUGUUCGGAAUUACUGGGCGUAAAGCGCACGUAGGCGGAUAUUUAAGUCAGGGGUGAAAUCCCGGGGCUCAACCCCGGAACUGCCUUUGAUACUGGGUAUCUGGAGGUCGAGAGAGGCGAGUGGAAUUCCGAGUGUAGAGGUGAAAUUCGUAGAUAUUCGGAGGAACACCAGUGGCGAAGGCGGCUCGGUGGCUCGAUACUGACGCUGAGGAGCGAAAGUGUGGGGAGCGAACAGG